rnacentral:snRNA from 1 species
AUACCUUUCUCGGCCUUUAGGCUAGGAUCAAGUGUAGUAUCUCUUCUUAUCAUUUAAUAUUAGAAUAAAGGUCAAAUAGGUUAUUGAAUUGCACACGAU